AGAGUGAACGCUGGCGGUAGGCCUAACACAUGCAAGUCGAACGGCAGCACAGUAGGAGCUUGCUCUUACGGGUGGCGAGUGGCGGACGGGUGAGGAAUACAUCGGAAUCUACCUUUUGGUGGGGGAUAACGUAGGGAAACUUACGUUAAUACCGCAUACGCCCUUCGGGGGAAAGCCGGGGACCAGCAAUGGCCUGGCGCUGAUAGAUGAGCCGAUGUCGGAUUAGCUAGUUGGUGAGGUAAUGGCUCACCAAGGCGACGAUCCGUAGCUGGUCUGAGAGGAUGAUCAGCCACACUGGAACUGAGACACGGUCCAGACUCCUACGGGAGGCAGCAGUGGGGAAUAUUGGACAAUGGGCGCAAGCCUGAUCCAGCCAUACCGCGUGGGUGAAGAAGGCCUUGGUUGUAAAGCCUUUAGUUGGAAAGAAAGACAUUCGGACUAAUACCCGGUGUUCGUGACGGUACCAAAGAAUAAGACACCGGCUAACUCGUAGCCAGCAGCCGCGUAAC
rnacentral:rRNA from 1 species